GGAGAAACGCGCUGCGAUGAGAGUUCGCAUUCUGUUUUACACCCCGCUUGGCAAAGAGUAACUUAUUUUGAUUCCUCUGGCUACCCCUGGCCAUAGCUUUGAAGGAAUCAUGCGACACACUCGCACUCCACUACUCCAUCCUAUGGAAAAACGCUCCCACCAUCGAGGUGUUGACCAAAAUUUCGCUGUGUGCAUGAGACACACACUCGCACUCCUCCACCCCUCCAUAGCCGAUCGCUCCCACCGUUGCGAAUUGGCGAGAAUUUUUGCUCUGAGCGUGAGACCCUGAAGCGCAAGAGAUGACACUAUGUGUAAAGACGAUCAUAAUUCGAUAUGGUCAAAAUGCAUCGAUAAUUGUUUCAUUUAUCUGGUAAUGUUUUCACUUCAUCAAAAUUUUAAACAUUAACAACUAGGCUGAUAACAAUAGUUGAAAUGUAAAUCAGAAUAAAAUCAAUUCAUUUGAAGUAAAAUAAAUUCCAUUAUACUUUAUUUUGACCAUAUGAUCAUAACUUGUACAUAGUGCCAUUUACUUUGUGUUCUUCACUCUCGCGUUGUGUUUUGAUCGUUCGAAACUCAUUGCCAGAACGAAUGCAAAUUUCAUUUGGGAAGGAUCGGUGCCGGAAGAUGCAGUGAAAAUUAUAAAAUGUUUAUAGAAAAGUGGUUAAGUAAAUCGUGAAAGAUGUCAACGCAGGCGUAAAUGCAGUUUGUUUUGUUACUUGAUCUACGGCAAUUUCAUUACCAAAGCACCUGAUAACCGAUCAAAGAAGGUGAAUCGGGCUUACAGAGUCGCCGUUUAACUUCAGAUAUCUUCGUGAUUGGUAAACGCAUCAAACAGCAAGUGUUUUUCUUCCAACAGCACGCGCCAUCGGCGGAGCAAGCAGCCAACGUUUCGUUCGUCUAGCACGCACCAUCAAGAAUUGAAAUAUUCCCGAAUAGCUCUGUGAAUAAAAAACUGCACACUUACUGUC